rnacentral:rRNA from 1 species
AGAGUUUGAUCAUGGCUCAGGACGAACGCUGGCGGCGUGCCUAAUACAUGCAAGUCGAGCGCAGGAAGCUCACGGAACUCUUCGGAGGGAAGUGAAGGGAAUGAGCGGCGGACGGGUGAGUAACACGUAAGGAACCUGCCCCAAGGAUUGGGAUAACUCCGAGAAAUCGGAGCUAAUACCGAAUAGUUCUUCAGACCGCAUGGUCUGAUGAUGAAAGGCGCUUCGGCGUCACCUUGGGAUGGCCUUGCGGUGCAUUAGCUAGUUGGUGGGGUAAUGGCCCACCAAGGCGACGAUGCAUAGCCGACCUGAGAGGGUGAUCGGCCACACUGGGACUGAGACACGGCCCAGACUCCUACGGGAGGCAGCAGUAGGGAAUCUUCCACAAUGGACGAAAGUCUGAUGGAGCAACGCCGCGUGAGUGAUGAAGGUUUUCGGAUCGUAAAACUCUGUUGUAAGGGAAGAACAGGUAUGAGAGGUAAUGCUCAUGCUAUGACGGUACCUUGCGAGAAAGCCACGGCUAACUACGUGCCAGCAGCCGCGGUAAUACGUAGGUGGCAAGCGUUGUCCGGAAUUAUUGGGCGUAAAGCGCGCGCAGGCGGCCUUUUAAGUCUGAUGUGAAAGCCCCCGGCUCAACCGGGGAGGGUCAUUGGAAACUGGAAGGCUUGAGUACAGAAGAGAAGAGUGGAAUUCCAUGUGUAGCGGUGAAAUGCGUAGAGAUGUGGAGGAACACCAGUGGCGAAGGCGACUCUUUGGUCUGUAACUGACGCUGAGGCGCGAAAGCGUGGGGAGCAAACAGGAUUAGAUACCCUGGUAGUCCACGCCGUAAACGAUGAGUGCUAGUGUUGGGGGGUUUCCGCCCCUCAGUGCUGAGCUACGCAUUAAGCACUCCGCCUGGGGAGUACCGGCGCCAAGCUGAAACUCAAAGAAUUGACGGGGACCGCCACAACCGGUGGAGCAUGUGGGUUAAUUCUAACAAACCGAAAACCUUACCACC